GAAAUGCGAUAAGUAGUGUGAAUUGCAGACUUUAGUGAAUCAUCGAAUCUUUGAACGCACAUUGCGCCCCUUGGUAUUCCAUUGGGCAUGCCUGUUCGAGCGUCAUUUACACCCUCAAGCUCUGCUUGGUGUUGGGCGUCUGUCCCUGCUUUUAGUGAGGACUCGCCCUAAAGAUAUUGGCAGCGGCUUUGCCAGCUUCUUGCGCAGCACUUUGCGCUCGUAGAGGCUCUGGUAGGGACGCAUCCAUUAAGAACUCCACAGUUUGACCUCGAAUCAGGUAGGGAUACCCGCUGAACUUAA
rnacentral:misc_RNA from 1 species